CAGUCGCCGCGGUAAUACGUAGGGUGCAAGCGUUAAUCGGAAUUACUGGGCGUAAAGCGUGCGCAGGCGGUUAUAUAAGACAGAUGUGAAAUCCCCGGGCUCAACCUGGGAACUGCAUUUGUGACUGUAUAGCUAGAGUACGGCAGAGGGGGAUGGAAUUCCGCGUGUAGCAGUGAAAUGCGUAGAUAUGCGGAGGAACACCGAUGACGAAGGCAAUCCCCUGGGCCUGUACUGACGCUCAUGCACGAAAGCGUGGGGAGCAAACAGGAUUAGAUACCCCUGUAGUCCCUGUCUCUUAUCC
rnacentral:rRNA from 1 species